rnacentral:rRNA from 1 species
AACAAACGCUGGCGGCGUGCCUAAUACAUGCAAGUCGAACGGGGAAAGCUUUCGGGUGAGUACUAGUGGCGCACGGGUGAGUAACGCGUGGAUAAUCUGCCUUAGAGUGGGGGAUAACUAGUCGAAAGACUAGCUAAUACCGCAUAAGACCACAAGAACUGCGGUUCAAGGGGUCAAAGGUUUUUCGCUCUAAGAUGAGUCCGCGUAAGAUUAGCUAGUUGGUGAGGUAAUGGCUCACCAAGGCGACGAUCUUUAACUGAUCUGAGAGGAUGAUCAGUCACACUGGAACUGAGACACGGUCCAGACUCCUACGGGAGGCAGCAGUAGGGAAUAUUGCACAAUGGAGGAAACUCUGAUGCAGCGACGCCGCGUGAGUGAUGAAGGCCUUCGGGUCGUAAAGCUCUGUCGCAAGGGAAUAACACAAUGAAUGUACCUUGCAAGAAAGGAUCGGCUAACUUCGUGCCAGCAGCCGCCGUAAGAC